AUUGAACGCUGGCGGCAUGCCUUACACAUGCAAGUCGAACGGCAGCGGGGGAGAAGCUUGCUUUUCCUGCCGGCGAGUGGCGAACGGGUGAGUAAUACAUCGGAACGUGCCCUGUAGUGGGGGAUAACUAGUCGAAAGAUAGCUUAUACCGCAUACGAACUGAGGGGGAAAGUGGGGGACCGCAAGGCCUCAUGCUAUAGGAACGGGCGAUGGCUGAUUAGCUAGUUGGUGGGGGAAAGGCCGACCAAGGCGACGAUCAGUAGCUGGUCUGAGAGGACGAUCAGCCACACUGGGACUGAGACACGGCCCAGACUCCUACGGGAGGCAGCAGUGGGGAAUUUUGGACAAUGGGCGAAAGCCUGAUCCAGCAAUGCCGCGUGUGUGAAGAAGGCCUUCGGGUUGUAAAGCACUUUUGUCCGGAAAGAAAUGGCUCUGGUUAAUACCUGGGGUCGAUGACGGUACCGGAAGAAUAAGGACCGGCUAACUACGUGCCAGCAGCCGCCGUAA
rnacentral:rRNA from 1 species